rnacentral:rRNA from 1 species
GACGAACGCUGGCGGCGUGCCUAAUACAUGCAAGUCGAACGCAGUGGGGACGGGUGAGUAACACGUGGGUAACCUCCCAUCAGAGGGGAUAACACUUGGAAACAGGUGCUAAACCGAUACUGAUGGAUGGACCCGCGGUGCAUUAGCUAGUUGGUGAGGUAACGGCUCACCAAGGCCACGAUGCAUAGGCGACCUGGGAGGGUGAUAGGCCACAAUGGGACUGAAACACGGCCCAGCAUCCUACGGUAGGCAGCAGUAGGGAAUCUUAGGCAAUGGACGAGAGUCUGACCGGGAGACGCCGCGUAAGUGAAGAAGUUUUUCGGAUCGUAGAACUCUGUUGUUAGAGAAGCGGUAUCUAACCAGAAAGCCACGGCUGACUACGUGCCAGCAGCCGCGGUAAUGC